UUCUCGUUUAUCUUCGUGUGUGCUGGGCCUUCAUCGCUCAUGUAAUAAAUUAACUAUUUACGCUUCCGCUUGUUAAACUCUGAAUUGUAUCAACUUUUGGUGUACCUUGCCUCCUGGGACAAGGAGUAAUACACACACGUAUGGAAUGCCCGCUGGGUUAAUUCCGGUCGUGACAAAAUGAAAUCCCGUUACCAAAUGCGGGGUAUCAUUUGUACAACUGCCGUGAGCUAACCAUUCCCCUGCAGACCAUAGAAGAAUCUCAUGCAGGUGGAGUAUACAGGGACACACACAACAUGGCAAGGAACGAACGAGAAAGUUCAUCAUCCUCAACACCCGUGCAGAUUAUAUGAGGCAGGUUGGGAACCAACUGGGGAUGCACUCGGAUGGACCCAAGCUCCACGCCACAACAUCGGUGUCUCAAGCUGGGCAAGUGCCAGUGAGGACCGGUGGCAUGCGCCUCAUGACAUAUAGUGGGGGGACAACCAACCUCCCAGAUCAAGUGGAGUACCUCCAUGUCCAAGUGAAUGGCGCUCGAGUUCCUCUCGUUGGGACUUGGGUGAAAUCACUAGGAGAAUGGACACCCUUGAUGUGCAGACGGGGGAGAUCCAAUACAACCUCACGGAACACAUAGCUCAGACACAAGAAUGACAACAGACUACUAAUGCUCAAUUUGCCAACAUCAACAACAUGAUGCAGCAACAACACGAUGACCUUCAAGCAUAUUUCCGCUUUCAGGGAUUCAAUCCUUACCAAGGACCCUGAGCGAAAGCCAAGCUUGGGGGGAGACAUCUCUCUCCCCACUGAGGUAACUUGUAUCACAUUGCAUAUUUCCCUUUCCAAUUGCAUAUUUGCUUUCCAAUUGCAUCCUAUAAACUUGAAAACAGACAAGCCGGCCCCAAAUAAGGCGUGUGGAAGUACGUAUGGUGCUUGAAUAUACGUCAACAUGUUCGGUCCUUAACAACCCAGACGAGGCUACUUGCAUCAGGGAAAAUCACCGUCCCGUCAUCGCCCUAUCACCCGUCCAAGUUAAAGCAUGUUUCCAUAUUAAUCAUUGAGUGAGGUAAUCAGAUUUUAAUACCCAUAAAUCACGGGUGGUGAAUCAAAAGUAGACCUAAGCACGGCUAAGCAUUCGAUGAUAGAAUAAACCAUCCUAACCAUUUACAAUUGAAGGUGACAAGGUUACAGGGCAACAAUAUAUUAAAGGAAGGGAAAUGCAUGAAAUCCCUUCUUCCUAUAUAGUCCUAUACAGUUAUUACUAUAAAGCUUGCACCAUAUUGAGCCACGUCACUUCCUGAGCCGUUGGAUCGUCCUGCAGAUUUCCCAGAUGAAUGUUUCGGUAAUAUUGGGCCAGCCUAGGCUACUCGUUGACCAAGCCCCUCCGCUUCUCCGAGAAAAGAAUAAAAACAUAGCCCCGUCCAUCCCACAUGCUACACAGCGCCGCAAGAGGAAGCGAGGCAUUGACAGGGGUUGCGAGGGAGUUGCUACCAUGCGCAGCUCGAGCUGCCGCAUCGCCAGGACUCCUCCCCUUCUGACUCAAAAUCAACUACGCGUUGCUGGACAAACUCUUCUUCCUGGAAGCAGAUCCUCUGUGGGUCCCACUUUGCUAUGGCCCACAUAUCAGUGACUCAACUGCACAGCAGUUAAGUCAGAGGAUCCCUUUCCCUCUUCCUGUAUCGCUUGGAUCCACACAAGCUUCUGCCGUUUAGCACAGGUCUCUGUUGUUGGGGCUUGCAUGAUGAAUCACAAGGAAAUACCAAGUUAAAUUUUGUAUUCACUUAUCCACAGGCACAUGGAUUUAUCUGUUAGCAGUUAUAGGCAGCUUUGGCCUUGAAACGAGUUGCUACAGGACCCUAGGACGUCAUUGGAUAUAUAUACAAUCUUGGACAAAGGUAGAACAAUUAUUUAAUUAUUCACUAUAAGAUCUGCAUAGAAAAUUAUUGGAUCGAGUUGGACACAAGGAUUUUUCCUAUACGGUAUGUAUCUUUUCCUAUUUUUAUUAGUUUGUAUCAUGCCAUGUUUCCAUCAUUUCUUCGAUAAUGCUUGUCGCCAGUCGAUCGGCACGGAGGGAGACGGAUCGGGCGCUCGCCCCGCGCGCGCCCCUGGCCCACGUGCUACCUGUUGGCCCACCCACUUCUUUCUCCCUUUUUCCACAAAAAGAUGUUUCAACUAGUGUACUUAUAAUGCUUCACUAUAUAUAGAUCUAAUAUAGCUAGCAGUGAAUUAAAAUACUCUUUUGCAACAAAAAAAAC